rnacentral:siRNA from 1 species
GAAUGGGCUUGCCUUGCGUGGGC